rnacentral:rRNA from 1 species
CCCUUAGAUGUUCGGGGCCGCACGCGCGCUACACUGUAGGAAUCAGCACGUCUUUCUCCUUGUCCGAAAGGACUGGGUAACCCGCUGAACCUCCUUCGUGCUAGGGAUUGGGGCUUGUAAUUCUUCCCCAUGAACGAGGAAUUCCCAGUAAGCGCGAGUCAUAAGCUCGCGUUGAUUACGUCCCUGCCCUUUGUACACACCGCCCGUCGCUACUACCGAUUGGAUGGUUUAGUGAGAUCCUCGGAUUGGUCCCGGAGCGGCCUCUGGUCGUGCCGGAGUGCCGAAAAGAAUGUCGAACUUGAUCAUCUAGAGGAAGUAAAAGUCGUAACA